rnacentral:rRNA from 1 species
ACGGAAGGGGCGAGCGUUGUUCGGAAUCAUUGGGCGUAAAGGGCGCGUAGGUGGUCUUGUAUGUCUACCGUGAAAGCACACGGCUCAACCGUGUUACGUCGGUAGAAACUGCAGGACUUGAGGCUGGGAGGGGCUGGUGGAAUUCCCCGUGUAGCGGUGAAAUGCGUAGAGAUGGGGGAGAACACUCGUGGCGGAGGCGGCCAGCUAGACCAGUUCUGACACUGAGGCGCGAUAGCGUGGGGAGCAAACAGGA